GCUCAACCAGCAAACACGAGCAGUUUUCCUGAAGACUCCACUGAGACACGGACUGCACUGUCCAUCACCAUGGAUCCCAGCCUUCAGCCAGAUGAGGUUCUCACAGAGACCGUAGUGCCUUGCGCCUUGUUGCUGUCAAGCCUGUGCCAACAUGACUCUUGAAUUGAUACUCAGUGAUUCCAAGAGAAUCUGCCUCUCCUUGCUUCUUCCUUAAUGAACAUGAAAUACCAACAGCUCUAAGGGGGAAAAAAAAGAAGCUUCUAACCCUACUCAUUCAACUCAGGCCUUCAAAGCCCAAGAGAAAAAUAAAGUUGCCAAUUGUCCUUGCUGGGCUCAACAUAUCCAAUGUAUCUGAAUGGCCAUUUUACAUUUUCAAAAGUGCUAACAGAUACCACAUAAUUAAGUGUAUUAGCUGUGAUAUCACACGUUAUUCUGCAUUUUGUGUUGUUACCUCCGAGCUCUGCCAAUUGUGGAUCUUAGCAACCAGUGGGUGGU